rnacentral:rRNA from 1 species
UACGUAGGGCGCAAGCGUUAUCCGGAAUUAUUGGGCGUAAAGGGCGCGUAGGCGGCUUGGCAAGUGGAUGGUGGAAUCCCUCGGCUUAACCGAGGAACUGCCGUCCAAACUGCUUUGCUUGAGACCGGGAGAGGUGAGUGGAAUUCCCAGUGUAGCGGUGAAAUGCGUAGAUAUUGGGAGGAACACCAGUGGCGAAGGCGGCUCACUGGACCGGUACUGACGCUGAGGCGCGAAAGCGUGGGGAGCAAACGGG